GAUGAACGCUGGCGGCGUGCUUAACACAUGCAAGUCGAACGGAAAGGCCCUAGUUUGGUGGGGUGCUCGAGUGGCGAACGGGUGAGUAACACGUGGGUGACCUGCCCUGCACUUUGGGAUAACUUCAGGAAACUGGGGCUAAUACCGGAUAGGAGCUCUUGCUGCAUGGUGGGGUGGGGAGAGUUUCGGCUGUGGGGUGUGGUCUCGCCGUAUAUCCGCUUGUUGGUGGGGUUGUGGCUUACCAAGGUUUUGACGGGGAGGCCGCCUGAGAGGGUACGGGGACACGUUGGGACUGAGACAGGGCCCACACUCCCGCGGGGCGCAGCAGUGGAAAAUAUUGCACAGUGGGCGGGCGCGUGGUGCAGCCGCGCCGCGUGCGGGAUGACGGCCUUCGGGUUGUACACCGCUUUCGACUGUCACGAAGCGUGAGUGACGGUAAUGGGUAAAGAAGCACCGGCUAACUACGUG
rnacentral:rRNA from 1 species